rnacentral:tRNA from 1 species
GGGGACAUAGCUCAGUUUGGGAGAGCGCCUCGUUUGCACCGAGGAGGUCAGGCAGACCUCGUGAGGCGGGGGACCGAAUGGGCAAGCCCUCUGUUUCCA